rnacentral:rRNA from 1 species
AUUGAACGCUGGCGGCAUGCCUUACACAUGCAAGUCGAACGGCAGCACGGACUUCGGUCUGGUGGCGAGUGGCGAACGGGUGAGUAAUAUAUCGGAACGUACCUUUCAGUGGGGGAUAACUAUCCGAAAGGAUAGCUAAUACCGCAUAUUCUGUGAGCAGGAAAGCAGGGGAUCUUCGGACCUUGCGCUGAUUGAGCGGCCGAUAUCAGAUUAGCUAGUUGGUGGGGUAAAGGCCUACCAAGGCGACGAUCUGUAGCGGGUCUGAGAGGAUGAUCCGCCACACUGGAACUGAGACACGGUCCAGACUCCUACGGGAGGCAGCAGUGGGGAAUUUUGGACAAUGGGGGCAACCCUGAUCCAGCCAUGCCGCGUGAGUGAAGAAGGCCUUCGGGUUGUAAAGCUCUUUCGUCCGGGAAGAAAUCGCAUUGGCUAAUACCUGAUGUGGAUGACGGUACCGAAAUAAGGAGCACCGGCUAACUACGUGCCAGCAGCCGCCGUAAAAC